CCAUUCUGAUUUCCAUAUCACUGUCUGCACAUACUUGACUUUUUCCUUUGACUGUGAUAGUUUCCUACCUGCUGUACUGCAGAGUCUGAUGAAAAUUCAGCUGCUGUGAGAAACAUGUGGCACCAACACUCUGUGAUGACUCAAGAGCUGGCAGGGAGCCCCACAGUUUUGCUGAACACCAGCUUUUGAAGAAUUGACUUUAUGGAAUGUUCCCGCAGUCCUGACAAAGAUCCCCAACUCCUCACUUUGUCCCUAACUUGGAUCAAGUGAACAAUCUGACUGCAGCUGAACCAGACUUAUGCCAUGGGACUGUGAUGCUAUUGAAGUCCCUCCACUGAAAACAAUCGACAAAGUUCUCUGAAACUCAUGUAAAUGAGAGUAGGAUCAAAUCUUUUUUUGUUAGUAUUUGCUUCUAUUAGAAAAGAGGAAAAAAGAGGGAAUGGUGAAAAAACAGGUACAAGUGUUCUUAUUUCCCUGGAAAAGGCACUGGUGUUUUUUUGGAAUUGCCUCCUGAUUUGUUAUGAAACUCUAAAACUUUUAUUUUUAGUUCAGUUUCAUGACUAAUCACAGUUUGACAAAUAUGGAAAUUUUUAUGUGUGGGGGAAUUGAUGUGCAGUAGUUUUUGUUCUUUCCCCUGUUCAGUUUGAGGAUCUGCAUGUUGAUGUAUUUAUUUUGAAUUAAUGUUUAUUUCAGUAAGCUGAGGGAUUUGUUAUGAUUAUUAUGAAAGGGCCUGGUAUAUAUGUAAAUGAAAUGCAGAGAAGUAGGAGAAAGCAACUAAUUUGCUCUUGGAAUAUGAGGAUAACUUAGCUUGGUCAAAGCUUCUAGAUAAAUAUUAUUCCACAUAGCAAACCUGUUUCCUCUUUGUCUUAAUGAUUUCUUGUAUUGUAAAUUUGUGUAAGGAAAAUUGAUUUGGAACACCAACAUUAGUUUAGUCAGUCAUUUUAUAUGUUACUGGAAUAUUUUCAGUUACAAGCAGGGUAACUUAUGUCCACCUUAUUUUUAAGGAAUUUAGGGAAACAAUAUUCUUGUCAAUGUGUGGUGACUGGGUAAAGAUCUGGGUUUUAAAGUGCAACUAAUUUCUAUUUCAAUUUAUUUUGCUUGCAAGGAUUUUACUUAGCUAAACUGCAUAGAAAUGUGGUUUUAGGAGACUUGGUUCUUUAGAUUUAAGACAGGGAAAGUUCUUCUUUUUUAUUUGAAGAAAACUUGUUUUAAUGUGAAUUACUUUGAUACUUGCAGUGUAAACAACACACAGUGGGAUCAGUUAUCAAAAAGGUGACUUUCUAAUGCAAGUUAAAGGCUGAAAUGAUGAAUUUCACAUCUGUUAAAUAGGCUUAAUU